AGGGAAUCUUCCACAAUGGACGAAAGUCUGAUGGAGCAACGCCGCGUGAGGGAAGAAGGUUUUCGGAUUGUAAACCUCUGUCCUUGGUGACGAAACAAAUGACGGUAGCCAAGGAGGAAGCCCCGGCUAACUACGUGCCAGCAGCCGCGGUAAUACGUAGGGGGCGAGCGUUGUCCGGAAUUACUGGGCGUAAAGGGUGCGUAGGCGGUUGAUUAAGUUGGAUGUGAAAUACCCGGGCUUAACCUGGGGGGUGCAUUCAAAACUGGUCGACUAGAGUAUGGGAGAGGGAAGCGGAAUUCCUAGUGUAGCGGUGAAAUGCGUAGAUAUUAGGAGGAACACCAGUGGCGAAGGCGGCUUUCUGGACCAUAACUGACGCUGAAGCACGAAAGCGUGGGGAGCAAACA
rnacentral:rRNA from 1 species